rnacentral:rRNA from 1 species
UACGUAGGGUGCAAGCGUUGUCCGGAAUUAUUGGGCGUAAAGAGCUCGUAGGCGGUCUGUCACGUCGGCUGUGAAAACCCGGGGCUCAACCCGGGCCUGCAGUCGAUACGGGCAGACUAGAGUGCGGUAGGGGAGACUGGAAUUCCUGGUGUAGCGGUGAAAUGCGCAGAUAUCAGGAGGAACACCGGUGGCGAAGGCGGGUCUCUGGGCCGUAACUGACGCUGAGGAGCGAAAGCGUGGGGAGCGAACAGG